ACAACCCCAUUUUUUCGUCAAUUUUAUGAAACGUACAGAAAUCAAGUAUUCAGCAGGAAUAUUCCUGAAUGCAAAUGGAGCUUAGGUCCUACCAAAUGCAUAAAAGCUUCUGGGGACAGAGUAUGAGCAAAUAAAGAACAGCGUACGUUUUCAGACUACAAUGUCUGAUAGUGGGAACCUUAAUUAUUAGCGGUAACAGAGCUUAAAUCUGAAUCAUCAAAGUAAGGGACAGUGGCAAUCAAACACUGUAUGUAGCGAAGUAGCAACUUCAGUUGACAGAAACAUAAGACCGCUUUUUCUUGGAGGUGUCUCUGUUUUAGCUUUAGUUGAGACUCAACGACAAGUGUGCUGCAGAGUGCCUCCUUGGGUAUGACAUUCCAAGCUCCAGCCGCACAGCAUACCUUGGGUUGGCAAAACGGAAGCCGUAAAGCAUGUGAGUCUGAAAAACCCAGAAGUGGCUCGGGACACAGAUGUAUUUUGGGGAAAAUUAAAAUGUGACUAUGUUCUUACAAGAGAAAGUUGAACCAGAAAUGUGACCAUCCCAUU
rnacentral:lncRNA from 1 species